AUUGAACGCUGGCGGCAUGCCUAACACAUGCAAGUCGAACGAGUGGCGGACGGGUGAGUAAUGUCUGGGAAACUGCCCGAUGGAGGGGGGUAACUACUGGAAACGGUAGCUAAUACCGCAUACCAUCGGCUUUGCCCAGAUGGGAUUAGCUAGUAGGUGGGGGAACGGCUCACCUAGGCGACGAUCACUAGCUGGUCUGAGAGGAUGACCAGCCACACUGGAACUGAGACACGGUCCAGACGCCGACGGGAGGCAGCAGUGGGGAAUAUUGCACAAUGGGCGCAAGCCUGAUGCAGCCAUGCCGCGUGUAUGAAGAAGGCCUUCGGGUUGUAAAGUACUUUCAGCGAGGAGGCGUUACUCGCAGAAGAAGCACCGGCUAACUCCGUGCCAGCAGCCGCGGUAAUUC
rnacentral:rRNA from 1 species